CGCGUAGACGGUUUUGUAAGUCAGAUGUGAAAUCCCUGGGCUCAACCUGGGAACUGCAUUUGAAACUGCAUGGCUAGAGUAUGGUAGAGGGAAGUGGAAUUUCCGGUGUAGCGGUGAAAUGCGUAGAUAUCGGAAGGAACACCAGUGGCGAAAGCGACUUCCUGGACCAAUACUGACGUUCAUGUGCGAAAGCGUGGGGAGCAAACAGGAUUAGAUACCCUGGUAGUCCACGCCAUAAACGAUGACAACUAGAUGUUGGGAGGGUCUGCCUCUCGGUGUCGCAGCUAACGCGUUAAGUUGUCCGCCUGGGGAGUACGGCCGCAAGGUUGAAA
rnacentral:rRNA from 1 species